rnacentral:rRNA from 1 species
AACGUACGCUGGCGGCACGCCUAACACAUGCAAGUCGAACGAAGUAGCAAUACUUAGUGGCAGACGGGUGAGUAACAUGUAGGUAUCUGCCCUUUGGCCUGGAAUAACACGAGGAAACUUGUGCUAAUACCGGAUAAGUCUUUACGGAGAAAGCUUUAUGCACCAUUGGAUGAGCCUGCACUUGAUUAGUUUGUUGGUGGGGUAAUGGCCUACCAAGACUGUGAUCAAUAGCUGAUUUGAGAGGAUGAUCAGCCACAUUGGGACUGAGACACGGCCCAAACUCCUACGGGAGGCAGCAGUGGGGAAUCUUGCACAAUGGAGGAAACUCUGAUGCAGCGAUGCCGCGUGAGUGAAGAAGGCCCUUGGGUUGUAAAGCUCUUUCGUCGGGGAAGAAAAUGACUGUACCCGAAUAAGAAGGUCCGGCUAACUUCGUGCCAGCAGCCGCGGUAAUACGAAGGGACCUAGCGUAGUUCGGAAUUACUGGGCUUAAAGAGUUCGUAGGUGGUUGAAAAAGUUAGUGGUGAAAUCCCAGAGCUUAACUCUGGAACUGCCAUUAAAACUUUUCAGCUAGAGUAUGAUAGAGGAAAGCAGAAUUUCUAGUGUAGAGGUGAAAUUCGUAGAUAUUAGAAAGAAUACCAAUUGCGAAGGCAGCUUUCUGGAUCAUUACUGACACUGAGGAACGAAAGCAUGGGUAGCGAAGAGGAUUAGAUACCCUCGUAGUCCAUGCCGUAAACGAUGUGUGUUAGACGUUGGAAAUUUAUUUUCAGUGUCGCAGGGAAACCGAUAAACACACCGCCUGGGGAGUACGACCGCAAGGUUAAAACUCAAAUGAAUUGACGGGGACCCGCACAAGUAGUGGAGCAUGUGGUUUAAUUCGAAGAUACGCGCAGAACCUUACCAACACUUGACAUGUUCGUCGCGACUCUAAGAGAUUAGAGUCUUCGGUUCGGUCGGACGAAACACAGGUGCUGCAUGGCUGUCGUCAGCUCGUGUCGUGAGAUGUUGGGUUAAGUCCCGCAACGAGCGCAACCCUCACUUUUAGUUGCCAUCAUUUAGUUGGGCACUCUGAAAGAACUGCCAGUGAUAAGCUGGAGGAAGGUGGGGAUGACGUCAAGUCCUCAUGGCCCUUACGUGUUGGGCUACACACGUGCUACAAUGGUAUCUACAACAGGAAGCAAGACUGCGAAGUUAAGCAAAUCCCUAAAAGAUACCUCAGUUCGGAUUGCACUCUGCAACUCGAGUGCAUGAAGCUGGAAUUACUAGUAAUCGUGGAUCAGCGUGCCACGGUGAAUGCGUUCCCGGGUCU